CCUCGACCAAAAACUUUAACCUGAAGCGGGACUGACGGACGACCGACCGAACGAACGCACGGAUGCACAGACUAGAUGGGGCAUAACAAUUUAUUGUUGAAAGUGAAAAUAGUGAUUUGGCAAAAAUGAAAGUAAGCCGUAGAGAUUAGAGGAGGCAGGGCCUUUUUCGGGGCGUCGGGAUCGGGUGUUUUGAAACUCGGGAUUUGGGGAUUGAUCCUUACGGGAUCCGGGAAUAUAUUUUUCGAUUUCGGGAUUUCGGGAUAUGAAUUUCUUUAAAUUCUGCAUCUCGGGAUUUCGGGAUCAGGACCCCUCCGACCACCCCUCAAAUUAGCCUUAGUCGGUCUUAGUCAUUUAUACAAGAUUCAUAUCCUACCAUUGGCAUGUUAGUAAGACUCUCAAAAGAAAAAGCACUGAUGGAUUGUCCUUAAAGCAUAUUUUAUUAGACUUAUAAUGGACUAUAUAUAAGCAGUUACAUUUAUUUGAUGUUUGAAACGGUGCAAAUUUUUAAUUUGAUUUGACUUUUACCAAAAGAAGCAUUGUAGCAAAAGAGACGAAUAAUUGUGGUCUGAGGCCAGAAACACGAAAAUAAUUGAAUUUAACAGAAAGGAAACAAAUAUCGGACUUUGGAAAAAGGGAGAGGGC
rnacentral:lncRNA from 1 species